CGCGCAGGCGGUCGAUUUAGUCGCGUGUGAAAGCCCCCGGCUCAACUGGGGAGGGUCACGCGAUACUGAUCGACUCGAAGGCAGGAGAGGGUAGUGGAAUUCCCGGUGUAGUGGUGAAAUGCGUAGAUAUCGGGAGGAACACCAGUGGCGAAGGCGACUACCUGGUCUGUUCUUGACGCUGAGGCGCGAAAGCUAGGGGAGCAAACG
rnacentral:rRNA from 1 species